GACGAACGCUGGCGGCGUGCUUAACACAUGCAAGUCGAACGGAAAGGCUCCAGCUUGCUGGAGUACUCGAGUGGCGAACGGGUGAGUAACACGUGGGUAAUCUGCCCUGCACUCUGGGAUAAGCCUGGGAAACUGGGUCUAAUACUGGAUAUGACCUUUCUCCUUAUGGGGGUUGGUGGAAAGUUUUUCGGUGUAGGAUGAGCCCGCGGCCUAUCAGCUUGUUGGUGGGGUGAUGGCCUACCAAGGCGACGACGGGUAGCCGGCCUGAGAGGGUGAUCGGCCACAUUGGGACUGAGAUACGGCCCAGACUCCUACGGGAGGCAGCAGUGGGGAAUAUUGCACAAUGGGCGGAAGCCUGAUGCAGCGACGCCGCGUGAGGGAUGACGGCCUUCGGGUUGUAAACCUCUUUCGGCAGGGACGAAGCGUAAGUGACGGUACCUGCAGAAGAAGCACCGGCUAACUAUGUG
rnacentral:rRNA from 1 species